CUGUACUGCCAGGUCCGGGUCGGCGGCUGCACUGCGGAUGAGACCGGUGCGACUCAUGAAGGUGUUCGUCACCCGCAGGAUACCCGCCGAGGCUGUGAGGUGGAGCAGUGGGACUCGGAUGAGCCCAUCCCUGCCAAGGAGCUAGAGCGAGGUGUGGCGGGGGCCCACGGCCUGCUCUGCCUCCUCUCCGACCACGUGGACAAGAGGAUCCUGGAUGCUGCAGGGGCCAAUCUCAAAGUCAUCAGCACCAUGUCUGUGGGCAUCGACCACUUGGCUUUGGAUGAAAUCAAGAAGCGGUAACUGCAGCUUGGGAUCUGGAGGGGGCCUAGAGAGAGGGGUGGCUAUGAGAGAAAGAAGAGCUGUUGAUUUGUUUUUACUGCAUAUCCCUCGGCCAUUCAGGGAGAAUGUGAGGUGGCUGAUGAUAGAAUCUGUCCACAUGUGCACAGGUCAGUUACAAUAAACCCCAGCAGUCAGAAACAGUGGGUAACUUCUGUGUAGGUGGCACCCUUUCACAUUCAUUAUCUUUUUUGAUCCCCACAACAAUACCUUGAAGUAGCAAAGGCAGGUGUUAUUCUUUCUGUUUCAGAUGAGGAAAUUCAGAAAGGUUAAGUUACUUGUUCAGUCCCUGAACCCUGAUCUUCCAUCUUCAUAUCCUUCCAAAGUGGGAGAUAAUCUAAAUAGGAAUGAGGACUGCCCGUUUUUGAGUGCUCAUUUAUAGUUCUGAGCUUCCUGGCAGGCAGAUCAAAGAGGGAGCAAAGUAACUCCAUGGAAAUGUCCCAGCAGUAGACAUUGGUAAAUAUGGUUGAGGCUGAUGUUACCACCAGAUGUCUGAUUCGUAGUGGGAUCCGAGUUGGCUACACCCCAGAUGUCCUGACAGAUACCACCGCCGAACUCGCAGUCUCCCUGCUACUUACCACCUGCCGCCGGUUGCCGGAGGCCAUCGAGGAAGUGA
rnacentral:lncRNA from 10 species